UUCGCAGUAUAUUUUUGUGCUUUUGUUGUUUUGAAUUCAAAUCACAGGAUUAUACUGUGAG
rnacentral:pre_miRNA from 12 species